AUUGAACGCUGGCGGCAGGCCUAACACAUGCAAGUCGAGCGGAUGAGGGGUGCUUGCAUCCCGAUUCUGCGGCGGACGGGUGAGUAAUGCCUAGGAAUCUGCCCGAUAGUGGGGGACAACGUUUCGAAAGGAACGCUAAUACCGCAUACGUCCUACGGGAGAAAGUGGGGGCUCUUCGGACCUCACGCUAUCGGAUGAGCCUAGGUCGGAUUAGAUAGUUGGUGGGGUAAAGGCUCACCAAGGCGACGAUCCGUAACUGGUCUGAGAGGAUGAUCAGUCACACUGGAACUGAGACACGGUCCAGACUCCUACGGGAGGCAGCAGUGGGGAAUAUUGGACAAUGGGCGAAAGCCUGAUCCAGCCAUGCCGCGUGUGUGAAGAAGGUCUUCGGAUUGUAAAGCACAUUAAGUCGGGAGGAAGGGCUGUAGGUUAAUACCCUGCGGUUUUGACGUUACCGACAGAAUAAGCACCGGCUAACUUCGUGCCAGCCGCCGCAGUAA
rnacentral:rRNA from 1 species